ensembl:snoRNA U8 U8 small nucleolar RNA
UUGCUAGGUUGGAUAAUCCUUACCCGUUCCUCUAUAGAGAGUGCAGAUUGAACAUGAUGAUUGGAGUUUGCAUGAAUCAUGAUUAAUGUCUGAGUGAGUAAGGCUUACAACACUAUUUACUCCUAUCUGAU